CAUUUUCCCCUUUUACAAAACGUAACGAAAAGGCUCAAUUCCCGAAGAUUUUUUCCUUUAACAAAACUUGACGCGAAAGGCUUUAUUCCAGGAGUUUUUUCUCUUUAAUAAAAUGUAAAGUAAAAGGUCAAAUUACAGUGUAUUUUCAAUUU